rnacentral:rRNA from 1 species
UACGAAGGGGGCUAGCGUUGCUCGGAAUCACUGGGCGUAAAGGGUGCGUAGGCGGGUCUUUAAGUCAGGGGUGAAAUCCUGGAGCUCAACUCCAGAACUGCCUUUGAUACUGAGGAUCUUGAGUAUGGGAGAGGUGAGUGGAAACUGCGAGUGUAGAGGGUGAAAAUUCGUAGAUAUUCGCAAGAACACCAGUGGCGAAGGCGGCUCACUGGCCCCAUUUACUGACGCUGAGGCACGAAAAGCGUGGGGGAGCAAACAGGG